ACUGAGAAUAUUUUCAUCUGUCCAUCUGCCCGUGAGUUGCUUGUGCAGACCUUCCAGUGAAGCCAUAGGCUCAAUGGAUGUGAAGUGGGUCCUGUGACUAAUACCACACUGGUCCUUGAGCUACUGCACGAUAACCAGAAGAAACCUAAGCUUCAGCUCUCUGCUGGCUCUCCCUACGCACCACUGACGUCCAGAUCCUUCUCUCCAUCAACUGCAUCCUGCCAUUUGAAAAGAACUUUCUUCUGCUUUGCUGCGGACCCAACCUGGAUUUUCAUGGACGCUAAGCAAACACCCUACCACCGUGUUAACUUCCUACCCCACCCCAUGAUCCUGCCCUUUAAAAGGAAGAGCUAUCAAAUGGAUAAGUAUAUGAUAAAAGUUUUAUCAAGCUA
rnacentral:lncRNA from 1 species